GCCCUUUCAUAAAUAAAAGGUGUCACCUGCCCAAUGGUUAUUAAGUAAGAAUAGUAAACUUUUCUUAAAAUAAUUUAAAGGACGCGGUACCCUGACCGUGAUAAUGUAGCAUAAUCACUCGCCAUUUAAUUGAUGGAUAGUAUGAAUGGUUGAACGAAUAUAACACUGUCUCUAAUAGAAAAUUUAUAAAAUUGGAAUAAUAGUAAAGAUACUAUUUAAAACUGUAAGACGAAAAGACCCUAUAGAGCUUAACUAUAAUCUUUAAUAUAAAAAUUAAGUUUACUUAUAUUAUUUUUAAAGACUGGUAGUUUAGUUGGGGCGACUGUCUUUUAUAGCAAACAAAGACAAGCAAUAUUAAUAAAUUAAUUUACUGUAUAAAUAAUAAUUUUAACAGUUAUUAACAUAGGCUAUAAUGACCCGUUUAUAUAUCAAAUACUAAUAAACGAUCAAUAAAUAAAAGCUACCUUAGGGAUAACAGGAUAAUUUCAUUUUAGAGUCCCAAUCGAAAAUGAAGUUUGUCACCUCUAUGUUGAAUUAAGAUAUCCUGAUAAUGCAGAAGUUAUCAAAGGUAGGUCU
rnacentral:rRNA from 1 species